rnacentral:rRNA from 1 species
CGGAAUUAUUGGGCGUAAGCGCGCGCAGGUGGUUUCUUAAGUCUGAUGUGAAAGCCCACGGCCCUUCCGUGGAGGGUCAUUGGAAACUGGGAGACUUGAGUGCCCAAGAGGAAAGUGGAAUUCCAUGUGUAGCGGUGAAAUGCGUAGAGAUAUGGAGGAACACCAGUGGCGAAGGCGACUUUCUGGUCUGCAACUGACACUGAGGCGCGAAAGCGUGGGGAGCAAACAGGAUUAGAUACCCUGGUAGUCCACGCCGUAAACGAUGAGUGCUAAGUGUUAGAGGCCUUUCCGCCCUUUAGUGCUGAAGUUAACGCAUUACGCACUCCGCCUGGGGAGUACGGCCGCAAGGCUGAAACUCAAAGGAAUUGACGCGGGCC